AUGUGUGAGAUCAACGUGGAUGGUGCGGUAUGCAAUUGCCCUCCCAUUGGUGGUGUGGGCGUCGUAUGCCGUGAUGAGCAAGGUUUGUAAUUAUGAUCGUCAGCGGUAGUGUUCCAUGGUCUAACUGACCCAAAUAUUCUGGAAACCUUGGCGUGCCGAGAGGUCCUAUCCUUGGGCAGGGACUUGCUACUUCAGAACAUCACUGUGGCAUCAGACUGCCUCUUAGCGGUGAAGGAUAUCAACUCAGGAACGUGUGGCAUCACCGCCCCAAUCAUCAGAGAAAUUAAAGACGGGUGCAAUGAGUUUCAACUUAUCUCUUUUGUUCAUGAAGGACGACUCUCUAAUAUGGAGGCUCAUAGUUUAGCUUAG
rnacentral:rRNA from 1 species